rnacentral:snoRNA from 1 species
UGUUUUCUCAAGAUGAACCUAUUACGGAUGUAAAAGAGCCCCCAAGGCUCAGUACCCCGAGAGCGCAUAAAAACCGUGUGGAUUAUUCCGUUGCCUUCCUUCUGACCUUGUCU